rnacentral:lncRNA from 1 species
UUAAGUGUCACACAUAUGAUGACUCAUGAUACAGAAACGAAUGUCACAACUUCAAUAUAUAACGGAGUUCUAUACAAAAUAGUUAAAUAAUUGCAUCAUGCGACGAUAACGAUCCAGCAACCAAAGUUGACUCGGAGACGAUGGCCUAGACCACUCACGAACUCAUCACAACAUCCUUCAUGCGCCCCCUCCUGUGGUACCUGUUUUUGACCUCAGGGAUGUGAGUACAACAAGGGUUAGCUCACAUACGUUCAUCACUUAACAAGUUGAGGAGAAUAAUGUGCAUGAACUCAACAAAGGUGGGAGCUCAUCUGAAGUGUAAGGCUUACUAAAGGAGAUGAUUAAAGCUGAGCAUUGUUUUUAAAGUUGGUCUAAAUUUUAUUAGCAAUUAAUAGGUAUAAGUAGAUACCAACCCAAUUAAAUAAGAGAUCAAGAUUAAUAACAACACUCGCGAUGCAAUGCGUAUGACAAAUUAAGUUUAGUUUCAUAAAUUAAUCAUGCGAGAGUCCUGAGUCGCUCUUGACCGUGAGCACGGUUGAUAUACCAGUUUUACACUCUGUAGAGGUUGUGCAUCUUUACCCACAAGUCGUAUUACCCAUUUGCCACGGGGUUGAUCGGGCCCCAUACACCUCUUCCGAGUAAGCGAGGCAUGGUAGCACUACAAGGCCUUUCCAAAGUUUCACUAGUUCAAGAAAAUCCGCUACAAAUUCAGGAAGAAGGAAGCAUAGGAAUCCCUCGUCCUAAAAGCUUUCAAGAUAGUUCGACCCAAGUACCUCCCUAUACUCUAGCACCGACGCCUCUCCGCAUUCCGGGUAAGAUAACCUCUCCAUAGCUUUCCUAAUUAUUUGGCCAAGGGCGUCCCAUUCCACCCUUGUGGUAGCACUGUUUACUCAAGUUAAGCUCCAUGUUCCAAUUAACACAAUGAUCUUAUCAUGAACAAUAAUUACAGCAACAACAUAAUUGGAACAUGAUCAUAAUGUAAUAUUAAUUCCAAAACCAAGUAGAGCAAUAGCAAAAACUACCCAAAAGUUCAGUGGUAAACAAGGUGUGGGAUAAACAAUACUAGGGAAACAUAUUAGGUCCCAUCAAAUUAACAUGAGCAUGUCACAGUGAUUAAUAGAAACAUUAUUAGGUAAAAAGGAGUGAUCAAGGGCACAACUUGCCUUAGACUUCAGAUCCCAGGUACCAACUUGCUCGUCAGGUGACUCGUAACCUCACUGCUAGUCGUAGCAAUACACGUAAACAUGGUAUAGGCAAAAUUAACAUCACACCAAGCAUGAGAACAAACUGCAUAAUAAUAUUCUAUGCAUCGUAAUGAAAACCUAGGUUCGAACCCACUAAAUUCAGAGUUACGAUUAAAGAGUUGUGAUUUUCCGAAAUUUCUACGUGUUUGAUAUAGAAUAAACUAAGUGAAUAAUUUUAAUCCAUGUUUAAUGAUAAAACAGAGUUACCAGGUGAUAAACAAUAUUAAAACAAAUUUAAUACAACUGGAAUGGAUCAAAAAGAAAUUAAAAGGAAUUAAUUAUGAAUUUAAUAGUAUUCUGGAAUUAUUUUUAUAUUAAAAUCAUUAUCUCUAUUGUAUUUUAUAGGAUUUAAUACCCUAUGGACUGCGACCACAAUUUUAUAAAAGCGCAGGGUUACUUUUACAAAUGUUUGGACCAUUAUGUAAUGAUCUUAAUAUAGGGAUGAACUGCGGUUAGUUUUGGGUAAGUGGAGGGUCUCUUUUGAAAGGUUGCCUUGGCCGAAGGGGUAUGAGGUGUGUUCUGGCCACUCGAUCACCAAUGUAGGGUUCAGAUUAGAUGUCCAUUUACAACGAACCAGUAUUUAACGCAACCCGUCCAAUCGGAGAUCUAUGGUGAGGAUCUUUAAACAACGAGAUCAACUUAGGUCCGAUCAUUCACCAAUCAACGGCUGGGAUCAAUCAUGCCGAAGCAGUAUGCGCUUUCUAAUCGCGACCGCUCUCGGCCAGAUCAACGUCUUUGUGUGGUUCUCCCUCGCAGCAACCAAUAGGUGCGGUGGCGCGCUGGCCACCCGCGGCGGACCAUGGCCGUCGAACGCGGUUUCGCGCUCCCAUGCCCAAAACUAUGACCUGAUCGACGACAAGUGAUGCGGGGGUGACGGCAAACAUCAAGGUAACGAUCUUACCCGCAGUGGGGUUGGCGACAGAGCUAGCCACCACAGUUCGGAUCCAUUGCCGUGUGCAACUCCGACGAGGAAUUGAAGAUGUCCCGAGGAACACCCCUUUACGGCGUAGCCCCGGAAACAUCCCCUGCAUCAUGGCGAAGCUCCCAAGCCAAUUCAUGGACUCCGGUUAUCGACAUUAGUGGGGGAACGAUGUCUGCGGCCAACUCACCCACCUCUCUCUGCUUGAAUCCCUCGCCUACAGUACGGAGCACACAAGCUGGUCCCCAAGAGUCUUGGGUGGAUUAUUGAGGG